rnacentral:rRNA from 1 species
AGAAUCAACGCUGGCGGCGUGCCUCAGACAUGCAAGUCGAACGAUUAAAGCUCUCUUCGGAGAGUGUAUAGAGUGGCGCACGGGUGAGUAACACGUAAGUAAUCUACCUUCGAGUGGGGAAUAACGUUCGGAAACGAACGCUAAUACCGCAUAAUGCAGCGGCAUCGCAAGAUGACAGUUGUUAAAGGAUUUAUUUCGCUUGAAGAGGAGCUUGCGGCAGAUUAGCUAGUUGGUAAGUAACGGCUUACCAAGGCUACGAUCUGUAUCCGGUCUAAGAGGACGGUCGGACACACUGACACUGAAUAACGGGUCAGACU